rnacentral:tRNA from 1 species
GGUAAAGUGGCCGAAUGAUAGGCAGUAGGCUGUAGUCCUAUUAACAUUGGUUUAAUUCCUUUCUUUAUC